AAACGUAAUAUGUUUUGAAUGUACAAUUGAUUUUACAAUUAUGUGUGUAUUUUUUUGUUUAUUUGUGUCUGCGUACACGAUAUUUAGUCGAAGUAAUGCUUUAAUUUUCAACUUCAGUAUGUUUUCCGAUGGGAAAGUGAAUCUAGUUAGUGUAUUGUAAGGUAUAAUUUAGAUAUAAUAAAUUAAUUAUAUUUUCAACAUGUAUAUAUAUAUAUUUAAAACGUCAUUCUACCUUUGCCACCUAUCUAGGUAGUUUGACUUUUGGUCGAUCAUGUUAUCUCAUAUAGUUAUAGGUAGAUAAUAACAAACAGACUACAUACCAACACCAUGCGCGAUAGAUAUAACAAGUAUAUAUUAUAAUAUAUAUUAUAUUUUUAGAAAACCCAAUAUAUUGUGUUUAGAAUUCUCGUGCUGUUGAGUUGUAUUUGUAUUAGCGUUUCUAUAAAGUGUUAUUUUGUAAAGUAAAAAAAAUAAUAUCAAGCUCACCAUUUUUUGUAAUGAAGAUGACGUAUUUCUGGAUAAUAUAUUCGUGUUUGAUUUUUGGUACGUAAUACCAGUGAUCCGGCAUUUUGUGUGAUAGAAAACUCGAAAGACGCCAAGCUGCAUUAUCUUUAUUUCUGUUGGUGACUACAGUAUAAUUAAACAUUAUGUUAUUAUAAAAUGCGAAAAUUUAAAAAUAGUGGUGAUCAUAGUAAAAAAGUCAUAAUAAAAAUAAAAUCACCAUCAAACAAUAUACAACUAUAGAAACGCCGAAGAGAAGUUCAAUUGUUCAAAUGGAGUGUCGGUCGAAACGUCCAAGGUUUGUGAUGGUCGUGAGGAUUGUUCAGAUCAGAUGGUUCAGACGAGACCAAAGAGACGUGUGCUCGAAACGAGUAUGGAACAAAUAUGACAACGGGUAUAAAACGAUAGUUAGUUUGCAGUAGAGUAUAUACAAACCAAGGAAGAAUCCACAAUGGUCAAGAAGCACUUUUCGGACGGCACCUUGGCAUGCUGGAAUAUAUAAAUUCGUUAAAAACGUUUCCAAUUACGAAUUCCUUUGUGGUGAAUCAAGUAUUUCUUCAAAUUUAGUCAUUUCUGCGGCUCAAUGUUUUUGGUUAUGAUGAUAUCAGAUAUACAGAUAAUAGAAUAUUAAAUAACGACGGUCUGUACAAAGUUGGUGUUGGGAAAUAUGAUGGAAACGUUUCAAUUAUUGACAAUAACUUUACUCGACUAAUGGAUUUAUUUUGUUGCACCUGUUUGUACUGACUGGAAUGGAUAAUACAAUGUAUCCAAUGGAUAUCGUGGAAAGAUUGUUAGUUGGGUACAUCCGAAUAACGCUAGUUAAGUCCUGUUCUAUCAGAUUUAUCUUUACCAUACAACGACCCUACUUCUUACCGGAAAAUGUACACAACUGGAUA
rnacentral:misc_RNA from 1 species